UGCAUCUGUUGUUUUCUGACUCUCUAAUGAUCACCAUUCUAACUGGUGUGAGACCUUAUCUCUUAUUUCAUGCUUACCUGUCUUGCAACUUCCACUUCAAUUAUGCUGGGUGAACUAGACCGUAAUGUAAUGUUUCUCUGUGCUGUGUCUCAUGUUGCUUCCUCCUGUGGAAGUGCCCCUUCCAUGAUGUAGCACUCCAAGCACCUCAGUCUCUCUCGAGCCCUCCCACUGGUCACUCUCCCUUCUUUGCUAUUUCACUGUAUUUUUCAAAUAUUACUAAAGGUGCCUAUAGCAUGAAUCUGUGGUUUGAAUAUUUGUCUCCUCCCAAACUCAAGCUGAAGUUUAAUCCCCAGUGUGUCAGUAUUGAGAGGUGGAGACUUUAAGUGGUGAUUGGGUCAUGAAGGCUUUGCCCUCAUGAAUGGAUAAAUUCAUUAAUGGAAUAAUAAAUUAAUGGGUUAAUGGAUUAAUAUGGUAUCAUGGGAGCAGGACUGGUGACUUUGUAGAAAGAGGAAGAGAGACCUGAGUAACCAUGUGAGGCUACUCAGCUCCUUCCUCCAUGCGAUGCCCUGCAUUGCCUUGGGAUUCUGCAGGGUCGCCACCGGCAAGAAGACCCUCACCAGAUGUGGUCCCUUGACCUUGGAAUUCUCAGGCUCCAUAAUUGUGAGAAAUAACUCCUUUUCUUUAUAAAUUAUCCAGUUUUAGAUCCUCUCUUAUAUGAAACAGAAAUGAACUAGGACAGAAAAUUGGAAUUGAGAGUAGGGUGGUGCUAAUAAUGAAUACCUGAAAAGGUAAAGGUGGCUUUUGAACUAGGUAAUGGGCAGAGACUGGAAGAAUUAGGACAAGUAGGCGAGAAAAAGCCUAUGUUCUACUAAGGGCUUAGAAUUGGCUAGUUUGAAUAAUUUCAAUGGGCUCUGGGGUCUCAGUAGGCUCCUAGAAGACUAGGGAAAGCUUAGAACUCCUUGGAGACUAGUUCAGUGGUCAUGACCUGAUUGAAAUCUGGAUAGUAAAGGCCAUUCUAGUGAGGUUUCAGAUGGAACUCAGGAACAAGGUAUUGACAACUGUAGUAGCUGGGUGUGGUGGCUUGCGUCUAUAAUCCCAGCACUUUGGGAGGCCAAGGCGGGUGGAUUGCUUGAGCUCACAAGUUUGAGACCAAUCUGGGCAACAUGGCAAAACCUUGUUUCUACAAAAAUUGCAAAAACUAGUUGGGUGCGGUGGGGCAUGCCUGUAGUCCAAGCUACUUGGGAGACUGAGGUGGGAGGAUGGCUUGAGCCUGGGGUUGCAGUGAAUGAGGUUGCACUCUAGAUGACAGAGCCAGACCUUGUCUCAAAAAAGAAAAAAAAAAAAAAAGAAAGAAAAACUAAUAAAGACCAUCCUUGUGUCCUUGUUAUAAAUUGGCAAAUAACUUGGCAGAACUGUGUCCAUGGCCAAGGACUUUGUGGAAGGCUGAACUUGAGAUUGAUGAACUAGGGUAGCUGGCAGAAGAAAUACCCAAGUAGCAAAGCAUUCAGGCUUUUCCCUGGCUGCUUUUAAUUGCUUAUGCUAAGCUGCAAGAGGGAAAAUAUGACUUGACGAUGUAAUUUAUGAUCAAAAGAGAAGCAAAGUAGAAAGAUUUGGAAAGCUCAGCCAGGCCAUGUAAAGGGUGAAAAAGCAUGUUCAGGAGAGGAAACCAAUGGUAUAGUCCAGCUACCUUUGCCAAAGAGAUUAGCAUGGAUAGAAGGGAGUCAGGUGCUAUUUCUUAAGACAAUGGGAGACAGACCCUGAAGGCAUUUCACAGAUCUUUGAGUCUGCCCCUCCCAUCACAGGCCAUCACAGGCCCACAGGCCUAUAAGGGCACAAUGAUUUCAAGGGAGGGUCCCAAUGCACACUCCACAGGCUUGCUGCCCAGGGCCACCUUGGAACUCUGCUCCCCAAAUUCUGGUGCAGUGUUUCUUGGCCACUCUAACUGGAGUUCGAAUGGCCCGAGGUAUUAAGUAAACCUUGGCAGUGUCCAUGUGGUGCUAAUUCUGCAGGCUUGCAGAAAGCAAGAGCUGUGGAGGCUUGUCAGCCUUCAGCCAGAUUUCAAGGCUUGUUGCUAAAGCCUGGGAGCCCAGGGAGAGACCUGUUGCGAGGCAGAACCACUGCAGAAGGCCCACACUAGAGCAAUGCCAGAGUGAAAAUGUGACGUUGGAGCUGCCACAGAGUCCUCACCUGGGCAAUGCCUACUAGAGUUGUGGAAGUGAGGCCAGUACAGAAAGUCGCCACUGGGGCAAUGUCUAGUGGAGCCGUGGGAGCCAGACAGCCAUCAGGACCCCAGAACUGUUGAACCACAGGCAGCGUGCAAUCACCAUCUGGGAAAAUUACAGGUACUGGACUCUAACCCUUAUGACCAGCCAUGUGGACUGCUCCAAGUAAAGACAUAGGGAUGGAACUGCCUUAGGCCUUGGGGGCCUAAUCCCCAACCCAAUAUCCCCAGGAAGUAGCACAUGAUAGCAAGAGAUUAUUUUCUAGCUUUGAGGUCUGCCCUGCUAGAGUUUGGACUUUUUUGGGGCCCAUUACUCCUUUAUCUUGGCCUAUUUUUCCCUUUUGCCAUGGGAAUGUUUACUCUGUGCCUGUCUCACCAUUGUAUCCUGGCAGUAAAUAACUUGUUUUGAUUUCAUAGGCUUAUAGAUGAGGCUCUGGAAUUUGGACUUUUGAGUUGGUGCUGGAAGUCAUUUAGACUGUGGGACUAUGAGGAUGGAAUGAAUGUAUUUGUAUAGGAGGAGGACUGAGAAAACCCUCACCAGAUGUGGCCCUUCAACCUUGGACUUAGACUCCAUAACUGUGUCUUGGUCCAUUGUGCUGCUAUAACAGACUACCUGAGACUUGGUAAUUUAAAAUGAACAGAUAUUUAUCGGCUCAGAGUUCUGGAGGCUGGGAAGUACAAUAUCAAGAUGCCGGCUAUUUGCGAGGGUCUUUUUGCUACAUCAUCACAUGGCAGAAGAUUUGGAUGGCAAAUUGUCUUUCUGUAAUUGUUUAAUGGCUGCCAUUGCAAGUAAGAAAUGGAAAAUAAAUUUCUGAAAUCCAACAAAGUCUGAUCUUAUCAGCAUCAGAACCACGUAUGGAAGGAGAAAACAAAACUCAUGCUUAAGAGGAUGGCCAAAUAGAAAGACCAGCGCGAGCGGGAAAAGUCCUCCUAAGUGGAGCAGAUGAACCUUGGGAAUAUAUCAGCCUUAGAAAAUUGCAGCUGGAGACAUCUGUCAUUUGUGAGUGUGAAAUGGUUUAGUUGGCCUCAUACCUGAGCUAGGGGUGCUUGAGAUCCCGCAUUUGUUUUAGGCAAAGAGAAAUCGGUGUUUCUCUCUUGUGAAAUGCUUUGGAUGUUUGAGGAAAAAUACAUGUUUAUUGAAGUAUAACAAAUAUACAGAAAAGUGUUCAGACCACAGGGCAUAGUUUUAUCAAUUUCCACAAAGGAAAUUACCAAUACCCUGAGAAAAAUAAAUACACUAUUAUUAGAAGCCCAAAGUCUAUUCUAGUAUAAACAUCCAGUCUUUACGGCCCCAAAUGUAACCACCAUCUUGACUUUUUUUUUUAAGAUGGAGUUUUGCUCUGCUGCCCAGGUUGGCAUGCAAUGAUGUGAUCUCGGCUCACUGCAACCUCCACCUCCUGGGUUCAAGCGAUUCUCCUGCCUUAGC